GCCUGCUGUGCCUGAGUCGAAGUGAGUUCGGGAAGCCAGUGCCCGAAUGCUCAACCUUGCUGUAUCAGGGAGGGCCGGAGAGGGGAGCUCAAGAAGAGGACGUCCUAUCGAGGUGGCAGGGAUUUUCUGAAGGAGGGCGUAUUUUGCUGGGUGUCAUGGCACGUGCGUGUAGUUCCGGCUACUUGGGAGGCUGAGGUGGGAGAAUCACUUGAGCCCAGGAGGAGAAGACUGCAGUAAACUAUGAUUGCAUUAUUGCAUUCCAGCCUGGACAACAGCAAGAUCUUGUCUCAAAAAAUAAAUAAAAAUUUAGAAAUAAAGUUUUAUUGGCACACA
rnacentral:lncRNA from 10 species